rnacentral:rRNA from 1 species
UGGGGAAUAUUGCACAAUGGGCGCAAGCCUGAUGCAGCCAUGCCGCGUGUGUGAAGAAGGCCUUCGGGUUGUAAAGCACUUUCAGCGGGGAGGAAGGCGGUGAGGUUAAUAACCUCACCGAUUGACGUUACCCGCAGAAGAAGCACCGGCUAACUCCGUGCCAGCAGCCGCGGUAAUACGGAGGGUGCAAGCGUUAAUCGGAAUUACUGGGCGUAAAGCGCACGCAGGCGGUCUGUCAAGUCGGAUGUGAAAUCCCCGGGCUCAACCUGGGAACUGCAUUCGAAACUGGCAGGCUAGAGUCUUGUAGAGGGGGGUAGAAUUCCAGGUGUAGCGGUGAAAUGCGUAGAGAUCUGGAGGAAUACCGGUGGCGAAGGCGGCCCCCUGGACAAAGACUGACGCUCAGGUGCGAAAGAGUGGGGAGCAAACAGG